rnacentral:rRNA from 1 species
UACAGAGGUCCCGAGCGUUGUUCGGAUUCACUGGGCGUAAAGGGUGCGUAGGUGGUGAGGUAAGUCGGAUGUGAAAUCUCCGGGCUCAACCCGGAAACGGCAUUGGAAACUACCUUGCUUGAGGUUUUGAGGGGGGACUGGAAUUCUCGGUGUAGCAGUGAAAUGCGUAGAUAUCGAGAGGAACACCGGUGGCGAAGGCGAGUCCCUGGAAAACACCUGACACUGAGGCACGAAAGCUAGGGGAGCAAACAGG